AGUGAACGCUGGCGGUAGGCCUAACACAUGCAAGUCGAACGGACGCACCGUAGGUGCUUGCUCUCACGGGUGGCGAGUGGCGGACGGGUGCUGUAUACAUCGGACUCUACCUUUUCGCGGGGGCUAAUGCAGGAAAACUUACGCUAAUACCGCAUACGACCUACGGGUUAAAGCAGCGGAUCUUCGGACCUUGCGCGAUUGAAUGAGCCGCUGUGGGAUUAGCUAGUUGCUGGGGUAAGGGCCCACCCAGGCAACGAUAGGUAGCCGGCCUGAGAGGAAGAGGAGGCAGACUUGAACUGAGACACGGUCCCGACUCCUACGGGAGGCAGCAGUGGGUACUACUGGACGAAGCGGGCAAGACUGAUCCAGCAAUACCGCGAGGGUGACGAAGGCCUUCCGGUUGUAGAAACCUUUUUUUGGGAAAGAAAAGCAGUAUGUUAAUACCCCGAUGUUCUGACGGUACCUAAAGAAUAAGCACCGGCUAACUUCGUG
rnacentral:rRNA from 1 species